CCACGUUGGGGAAGGAUUCUGUCGUCGGGAGGGGCCUCAGAUUGUUUGGUUACUUUCCACCCCCUUCCACGGCUGAAGACAGUUUAACGGCUUCCGGGGGAAGGGCAGUAUGACCCUUGAGACCGCAAGAUCCCUUCGGGACGGAGCAUUUCCUGUUGCCGAGAUUCGACCAGCGGAGCCCAUCUGUGAAAUCAUCUAGUGUCUCCAGGCGGCUGGAAACUUCCCCCUGCAGCCCCUGGCCGGAAGUCUCUCUGGCCCUAUCACGGCCCCAGAUGACGUUUUGAAAGGCAUCUCCUUUUAAGCCGGAAUCUUCUCAGGAUCGGGCAGGCGGGAGGACAAGGCAAUCGAGAAGAGAACCCAGAGAUUCGGGGGGUUCCCGACACAUCCGUAAAAUACCCGGUUGGUUCCAUCGGAGG